AUUGAACGCUGGCGGCAGGCCUAACACAUGCAAGUCGAACGAGUGGCGGACGGGUGAGUAAUGUCUGGGAAACUGCCUGAUGGAGGGGGAUAACUACUGGAAACGGUAGCUAAUACCGCAUACCAUCAGAUGUGCCCAGAUGGGAUUAGCUUGUUGGUGGGGUAACGGCUCACCAAGGCGACGAUCCCUAGCUGGUCUGAGAGGAUGACCAGCCAAACUGGGACUUAGGAACGGGCCAGAAUCCUACGGGGGGCAGCAGUGGGGAAUAUUGGCCAAUGGGCGGAAGCCUGACUGAGGCAAGCCGCGUUGUUGGAGAAGGGCUUUGGGUUGGAAAGCUCUUUUAGGGGGGAAGCGUUACCCGCCGAAGAAGCACCGGCUAACUCCGUGCCAGCAGCCGCGGUAAUAC
rnacentral:rRNA from 1 species